GACGAACGCUGGCGGCGUGCUUAACACAUGCAAGUCGAGCGGUAAGGCCUUUCGGGGUACACGAGCGGCGAACGGGUGAGUAACACGUGGGUGAUCUGCCCUGCACUUCGGGAUAAGCCUGGGAAACUGGGUCUAAUACCGGAUAUGACCUCCUAUCGCAUGGUGGGGGGUGGAAAGAUUUAUCGGUGCAGGAUGGGCCCGCGGCCUAUCAGCUUGUUGGUGGGGUAAUGGCCUACCAAGGCGACGACGGGUAGCCGACCUGAGAGGGUGACCGGCCACACUGGGACUGAGAUACGGCCCAGACUCCUACGGGAGGCAGCAGUGGGGAAUAUUGCACAAUGGGCGAAAGCCUGAUGCAGCGACGCCGCGUGAGGGAUGACGGCCUUCGGGUUGUAAACCUCUUUCAGCAGGGACGAAGCGCAAGUGACGGUACCUGCAGAAGAAGCACCGGCUAACUACGUG
rnacentral:rRNA from 1 species